rnacentral:rRNA from 1 species
GCGAGCUGGGUUCAGAACGUCGUGAGACAGUUCGGUCCCUAUCCGGCGCGGGCGUAGGAUAUCUGAGAGGAGCUGUCCUUAGUACGAGAGGACCGGGAUGGACGGACCGCUGGUGUAUCAGCUGCAUCGCCAGAUGCAUAAGGCUGGGUAGCCACGUCCGGACGGGAUAAACGCUGAAGGCAUCUAAGCGUGAAGCCCCCCUCAAGAUGAGAUAUCCCUGCUUCAGCAGUAAGACCCCUUGUAGAGUACGAGGUCAGAUAGGCACAAGGUGUAAGCAUGGUAACAUGUUCAGCUGAUGUGUACUAAUAGGUCGAGGGCUUAUCCA